AUUGAACGCUGGCGGGAUGCUUUACACAUGCAAGUCGAGCGGCAGCGCGGGGGCAACCCUGGCGGCGAGCGGCGAACGGGUGAGUAAUACAUCGGAACGUACCCAGUAGUGGGGGAUAACACAUCGAAAGAUGUGCUAAUACCGCAUACGACCUGAGGGUGAAAGGGGGGGAUCGCAAGACCUCUCGCUAUUGGAGCGGCCGAUGUCGGAUUAGCUAGUUGGUGGGGUAAAGGCCUACCAAGGCGACGAUCCGUAGCUGGUCUGAGAGGAUGAUCAGCCACACUGGGACUGAGACACGGCCCAGACUCCUACGGGAGGCAGCAGUGGGGAAUUUUGGACAAUGGGGGCAACCCUGAUCCAGCCAUUCCGCGUGAGUGAAGAAGGCCUUCGGGUUGUAAAGCUCUUUCGGCAGGAACGAAACGGUGGGUCCUAAUACGAUCUGCUAAUGACGGUACCUGAAGAAGAAGCGCCGGCUAACUACGUGCCAGCAGCCGCGGUAAUACGUAGGGUGCGAGCGUUAAUCGGAAUUACUGGGCGUAAAGCGUGCGCAGGCGGUUUUGUAAGACAGAUGUGAAAUCCCCGGGCUUAACCUGGGAACUGCGUUUGUGACUGCAAGACUCGAGUGUGGCAGAGGGGGGUGGAAUUCCACGUGUAGCAGUGAAAUGCGUAGAGACGUGGAGGAACACCGAUGGCGAACGCAGCCCCUUGGGUCAACACUGACGCUCAUGCACGAAAGCGUGGGUAGCAAACAGAUUAGAUACCCUG
rnacentral:rRNA from 1 species